GCAGAUGGCCGGAUGGCCGCUCUGCCGGGCUUCGGCCCGGCGGGGAGGAAAGUCCGGGCUCCACGGAAACACGGUGCCGGGUAACGCCCGGCGGGGGCGACCCCAGGGACAGUGCCACAGAAAGCAAACCGCCCGGCUCCGGCCGGGUAAGGGUGAAAGGGUGCGGUAAGAGCGCACCGCGCGGCCGGCAACGGUCGCGGCACGGUAAACCCCACCGGGAGCAAGACCGAAUAGGGGCGGGGCGGUUCAUGGGAAACCAUGGGCCGACAGGCGUUUCCGCCUGCCGCCCGGGUUGGUCGCGCGAGGCGACGGGCGACCGUCGUCCCAGAGGAAUGGCCAUCCCCCGACCCGCCGUCCGCAAGGAUACGGGGCCGGGGACAGAACCCGGCUUACAGGCCAUCUGCCGCC
rfam:Inquilinus limosus MP06 Ilimosus_MP06_contig00388, whole genome shotgun sequence.